rnacentral:rRNA from 1 species
UAGGGAAUUUUCCGCAAUGGACGAAAGUCUGACGGAGCAACGCCGCGUGAGUGAUGAAGGUAUUCGUAUUGUAAAACUCUGUUGUUAGGGAAGAAGAACAUACUUAGGAAAUGAAGUAUGAGUGACGGUACCUAACGAGAAAGCCACGGCUAACUACGUGCCAGCAGCCGCGGUAAUACGUAGGUGGCGAGCGUUAUCCGGAAUUAUUGGGCGUAAAGGGCGCGUAGGCGGCUUGUUAAGUCAGUUGUGAAAGCCCACGGCUUAACCGUGGAGGGUCAAUUGAAACUGACAAGCUUGAGUGCAGGAGAGGAAAGUGGAAUUCCAAGUGUAGCGGUGAAAUGCAUAGAGAUUUGGAGGAACACCAGUGGCGAAGGCGACUUUCUGGCCUGUAACUGACGCUGAGGCGCGAAAGCGUGGGGAGCAAACA